rnacentral:rRNA from 1 species
UACCGCGGUUAUACGAGAGACCCAAGUUGACAGACAACGGCGUAAAGCGUGGUUAAAAGACUAAUUAACUAAGACCGAACACUUUUAGGACUGUAAUACGUAUUUAAAAGCUGGAAGCCCAACGACGAAAGUGGUCUUAACCAGAAUCUGAACCCACGAAAGCUAUGGCA